AAGGCUUGACAUGCACGGCGGCACUGCAGAGAUGUGGUGGCAUUUAGUUGGUCGUGUGCAGGUGGUGCAUGGUUGUCGUCAGCUCGUGUCGUGAGAUGUUGGGUUAAGUCCCGCAACGAGCGCAACCCUUGCCCUAUGUUGCCAGCACGUGAUGGUGGGGACUCGUGGGGGACUGCCGGGGUUAACUCGGAGGAAGGUGGGGAUGACGUCAAAUCAUCAUGCCCCUUAUGUCUUGGGCUUCACGCAUGCUACAAUGGUUGGUACAGAGGGUUGCGAAAUCGUGAGGUGGAGCGAAUCCCUUAAAGCCAGUCUCAGUUCGGAUUGGGGUCUGCAACUCGACCCCAUGAAGGUGGAGUCGCUAGUAAUCGCAGAUCAGCAACGCUGCGGUGAAUACGUUCUCGGGCC
rnacentral:rRNA from 1 species